rnacentral:rRNA from 1 species
CCCUUAGAUGUUCUGGGCCGCACGCGCGCUACACUGAUGCAUUCAACGAGUUUCUUCCUGGUCCGAGAGGAAUGGGUAACCUUUUGAAAGUGCAUCGUGAUAGGGAUAGACUAUUGCAAUUAUUGGUCUUCAACGAGGAAUUCCUAGUAGACGUAGUUCAUCAGACUGCAUCGAUUACGUCCCUGCCCUUUGUACACACCGCCCGUCGCUCCUACCGAUUGAAUGCUCAGGUGAGCCAUUCGGACCUUCAGCAUGCCGGUUUCCGGUUUUGAUGAGGGAAAGUCUUGCGAACCUUAUCAUUUAGAGGAAGGAGAAGUCGUAACA